ACUGAUAACUUUUUUAUAGGGUUCAAUUGCCUUCAUGUCCACCCUGUGGUCCUGCUCUCCGAUCCGGAACAUCCGCCAGCGCCGCCCAUCGUCCUUCUCCUCUGCCUCAGUGUACUCAGUGAGGGAGCCCUUCCUAAUCACAUCAGUAGUUUUUGGUUUGGGAAGAUCAUCUGCCAAAGGAAAAUGAAGGCAGCAGCAUUAAAGGAAGAAAAGACAGAAACCCUUUUCAGCCACUUUUAAAAACAAGACACAAGCAUCUGGAACAGUUCCUUCGCAUCAGAGCAAAACUACCCCUAAAUACCAAUUCUUCUUAAAACAAGGAAAAUCCUUUUAUCCAGGUAUUGUUUCAAACAUAACAGUGAGAAGAGAACUUCCUGUUCAGUCAGGAAUUAACAUUAUUUUAUUUUCAGAAUAAAAAAAAUAAUAAUUGAGUUUACAUGUUUACUUAGAGACAUUUUUAAGCCAUGAAGUUUACAGAUGUUAGAGACUUCAACACGCUGACCAACACAACAGUUCUUGGUUUACUAAAAGGGCCUUAACACAUAAUUAAACUCUAAGUUUAAACUUUAUGCUUCAACUCCUACACAAAAUGUUUGCCUCAAAUAAAAUUUGUUAGAAUCUCCAAGUUUUGCCUAUAAGAGUAGGAUAAAGCAUCUAUUAAUUUCUUAAAAUUAAGAUCAUUACUACUGUGGCUAUAGCUACAUUAACUUCCUAUCAAGUAAUUUCAGAAUUCCUUGACACAAAACUGAGGCUCUUCUACUAGCAAGCAAACCCUAAGGCUUUUGCCAUUCUUACCACAGGAAGGUAUGAGACAGGUUUUCGAAAAUACCACUCAGUCCUCCUUAAAUUGCAGUUCAUCAGUUCCUGGGCAGCCAAUCUCUAUCCCUUUGGAUGUUCCCUCCAUUUAAACUCACCUCUAACACAUAGAAAACACCUUUGAGAUUUUUUUUUGACAGGGUGGCUUUUAAAAACAUACUGCAACAGAGAGGAUUUUCCAUAACUUCAAGUCUCAUAGAUGUAUAUAUAGAUGAUAGACAGAUGUAUAUAUAGAUGGCAUUCAGCUAAGUUUACUUGGAGUUACAGCUAUUAUGUUGCUUGUUUACUAAUCAGAUGAGGCCUUUUGCUCUUUAAAAAUUCAUUGCACCCAUUUCCAAUUUCUAAUCUAAUCACUCCCUUUAUGUUUUUCCUCUUGUAACUUCAAGUCAUAGUUAUUUCUUACUUGAGAAACUGCUGACCUGCACAUAAGAAAAUAGAAAUAUUUUAGAGGAUCUGA